rnacentral:tRNA from 1 species
GGGGAUGUAGCUCAGAUGGCUAGAGCGCUUGACUGGCAGUCAAGAGGUCGUGGGUUCGAAUCCCAUCUUCUCCA